GGGAAAGACGUUCUGCUCCCUCCCUCCCUCCCAAAUUUCGCGCGAGAAAAAGCCCUAGGAGAUCCAUAACUCUCUCUCUUGCUUUUUGGAACAUUGAGGACAAUGCGGGGCCAAGAUUUUAUCAACACCAUCAUCCCUGAUGAGCUUCUCAUCGAGAUUUUCCGGCAUCUAGACGGUCGGAAAUCUCACCGAGAUGCGUGCUCUCUCGUCUGCAAGAGAUGGCACAGGCUCGAGAGCGACACGCGCGACACGAUCCGAAUCGGCGCGUCGGGUAGCCCGGACGCUUGUACAUCCGUCCUGGUGAAGCGAUUCGUUGAUCUAAGAAAUGUGUUCAUCGAUGAGAGGCUGCCUGUAUCCCUCCAAUUUCAGACGGGGUUUCCCCUCCGGAGCCAGCGUCUUCGUGACUAUGCCGGUUAUCGGCAAUUUAGAUCGAGAAUAGCUCGAAGGAAUGUUAACAAAGGACCUGGUUCUUCAAAACUACGGUAUACAGCAGAAAAUAGUGGAUCCGAGUCUGAGCUUGAACUUUGCAGUUUAUCUGAUGCAGGAUUGGCAGCUCUUGGAAGAGGCUGCCCCAAACUUGAAAAGUUAAGCUUAAUAUGGUGUUCAGCUGUGACAAGUGAUGGUUUGAAUUCCAUAGCAGGAAAUUGCAGACACUUAAAAGCUUUGGAUCUGCAGGGUUGCUAUGUGGGAGAUCAUGGCCUUGCUGCUAUAGGCCAGUUCUGCAAGAACCUUGAAGAUUUGAACUUGCGCUUUUGUGAAGGUGUAACCGAUAAAGGCUUGAUUGAGUUAGCUGUUGGUGUUGGGAAGUCAUUGAAGAGUAUUGGUGUUGCAACUUGUGCAAAAAUAACAGAUACCUCAUUGGAGAUUAUCGGUUCUCAUUGUCCCAAUCUUGAGAGCCUCUCUUUGGACUCAGAAGGCAUCAGAGACCAAGGUGUGGUUGCUAUAGCCCAAGGAUGUCCAUCCUUGAAGUCCUUAAGGCUGCAAUGCGUAAAUGUUACAGAUAAUACUUUGCAAGCCGUUGGUACCUACUGUUCGUCAUUGGUUUUGUUGGCCUUGAACAGCUUCCAGAAGUUCACUGACAGGAGCCUCUUUGCCAUCGGGAGUGGGUGUAAGAAACUUAAUGUUCUUACUUUGAGUGAUUGCUAUUUCUUGAGUGACAAAAGCCUUGCUGCUAUCGCCACUGGCUGUAGAGAGCUCACACGUCUUGAAGUAAAUGGUUGCCACAACAUAGGAACUUCUGGACUUGAAGCUAUUGGCAGGUCUUGCAGGGGACUAUCAGAACUUGUUCUUAUGUAUUGUCAAAGGAUCAGUGAUGAUGCACUUCUUGAAGUUGGACGUGGUUGUUCAUUGUUGCAAGCUUUAGAGCUGGUAGACUGUUCAAGCAUAGGGGAUGCUGCAAUAUGCAACAUUGCUCAGGGAUGCAAGAACUUGAAGAAACUUCACGUUCGACGUUGUUAUGAGAUUGGAGACAAGGGCAUCAUUGCAAUUGGUGAGAAUUGUAAGCUUUUGAGAGAUCUUAGCCUCAGAUUCUGUGACAGGAUUGGUGACGAUGCCUUGAUUGCUAUUGGACGUGGAUGCUCACUUCAGUUGUUGAAUGUCAGUGGUUGUCAUCAAAUUGGGGAUAUUGGAGUUACCGCAAUUGCCAAGGGCUGCCCUGAGUUGGUAUCUUUGGACAUCAGUGUAUGCCAGACUGUAGGUGAUAUGGCUUUGGCUGCAUUGGGUGAGGGUUGCCCAUUACUUAAAGAGAUAGUGUUGUCUCAUUGUCGAAAGGUUACCGACAUUGGUUUGUCUCACCUUGUGAAACGUUGCUCGGUACUGGAAUCUUGUCACAUGGUUUACUGCCCAUCAAUAACCUCAGCUGGGGUUGCUACUGUAGUUUCUAGCUGUCUUAACAUAAAGAAGGUACUCGUUGAGAAGUGGAAAGUUAGUCAAAGAACACGGAGGCGAGCUGCCCCUGUUUUAGCAGACUUGUGUUCAGAGUUGUGACUAACGUAGGCUGAGCUUUCAUUUGGCUGUGAUGUUCAAUAAAGAUUCAGAUCCAGAACAAAGUUUCAGUGGGAAGGAUUAAUUUUUCUUUAUGCAACCAAAAGGAGUUGACGACUGUUGAAGCUUAAUGUGGAGAACCUCACAAAAUCCCUAACCAAUCUGCAGCCGCUGUUCCAUGUGGUCACCACGGACAGGCUGCUUGUCAGCUUGGCUUCUUAUGUAGAUUGCCAAUGUAAAUUUGCUUCCUGUCAAAGCGUGUGGGAUGAUGCUCCUAGAUUCAUCUAGCGUGAAUUAAAGGGUGAAUUCAUUUGCAGUGGAACUAUUGAAAAUUGCAAGUAAACAUCAUUUCUCUGUGAAGGCGUGGGACGAAUUGAAGGCUUCCAGUAUCGCCACAUACCUUGGUCUCCUUGUUCGAGAAAUUCAACGGUGGUCCACAAAAUCAACCUUCAGGGUUACUGGUUCUCGUAACCAUGCCAUCACGGGAAGAAACAUGAAAGCGGCCAUUGACUCUUUGUGAAGCAAGUGCUUGCUUAACUUAGAGGUCAUGAAAGGAAGGACUUAUCCUCAAGCUAUUCCUCACUUCCUCCAGCUUUUACUUAAUUGGCAUGUGACUUCUCUCAUGGGAAAGAAUCGAGAGUCAGGGUCAUCUUAAGUUUGUGAUUUGGGGGAAGAAUUGUUAGUCAUCUUAAAUGUCUCUUCUUCUGACAUAUGAGCUUCUCUCCUGUACCAUUUUCUCCUAGAAAUGGAAAGCAAGAACGAGCAAUCCAACUUGAUGGGUAUUUGCCACAAGUUCCUCAAUUCAUUUUCCCGGGGCUCGGCAUUCAGGUGGCUGCGUCACAUUCGGAACGAGUCUAGUCAUUGCAACUCAAAGCUGAUGCCCGUUGCACGUUGUGAAGGAAGCACAAUGGUUGUAGCCACGAAUGCUGCGACAUGUGAUGGCGACCUUGGGAAUGAAAUAAUAGUGGGACAAGGGAUUCAUAUGGUGUCUCAGAAUGAUUUGCAUUCUGAAAUGGAAGAUGAGCCAUAUUUAGUAUCACACGAAGAGGCCUCUUCUGCCUCCCAUCCUGUGAAAGAGAAGUCAUGUGACAAGGAUGCCGCGCUUGCUGACCAAAUGACGCUGGUGAGUGCAGGAAUGGCAAAUUCAGCAACACACAUCGAGAGCCACGUUGAAGAAAACGGUGAGUCACAUUUGAAAGAUGAGGAGGCCAUGACCAAUUCUGCUAUUAAUGAAGUUCAGCCAAAGAAGAAUCACCUACACUCUAGUUUACAACCGGCUGAUACACCAAACAAUCAGUGUGAAAAUGCGGGAGGAGAUUCUCUUACUCAGCUGAAAAAUGGGCCACUCAGAGAGCAAUCUACCUUGCACGAUGACAAACGAGACAGAGGCUCAGACUCGGGGUUCACAGAUAAUGUCAUGGAAGCAAAGAUAAGAGAAAAGGGUCACGUAGAGGCGACAGAAUCCAAGUCGAUGCGCGAUCGGAAACAACCAACGGCAAAGUCCGCGAAACCUCCACGACAAAUACGAAGGCCUUUGGGCCAAAAUGAGCGGCCAAGUGUGUUGAUCAAGAGGAGGAAGACAACCCGCAGAGCAGGAUUAGCUAUGGAUUCAGUCCUGCCGUGACGACGCAUUUCAUGUACAUGAACACUCGCUCCAGUAGCAGUAGAGUUCAUGUUCGUAACGGACGAAUGUUUGGCUCAUUCCCGUGCAGCUGCAUGUGGAAUAGAUUAAGCCGUAAGCCAAUAAACUGCUAAAUUUAGAAGGGACGAGUUGAUUUGACCAGAUCUUUCUGAUGCUAUGUGAUGACACAUCUAAAGAUUUGAUCGUUUCUCUCUCUCUCUCUCUCUCUCUCUGUGUGUGUGUGUGUGUGUGAUCCUUUUGCACACACCUAUCCUACAGAAGGAAAGGGUCUUGAAGAUCGAGCCUUAAUGGGAUU